CUAUCGUUUUGCCCUGCCAGGAGAAGUCAUGUGGAAAUGUUGGAAGUUUGAAGAGCACCUACUGUGACACUCGAGUUCACAUCUUCCCAGUGUGCUGCCGUUCAGAGCAGAGCUGUCCCCAGCCAGCUUAUUGAUGGCUUCAUCAGGCACCAUCCUCCAGAGGGGCUACAGUCACACAGCCAGUGAGUGUCGAGCUAUGUUCAACCAAAGCGCCGCUGGCCAGCCUGCUGACGGUACUGGAUAGAGGGGGAAACUGCUGCUCAAGUGAACGGGCCAAUUCGGAGUUUCUAGCCGAGCUCAAGCGCCAGGGAUAACGGUGCUCACAUUCCUGAGGCAGAACUUCCAACUGCUCGCUCAGCGGCGUGUACUGGAGAAGAAUGAAGAAUCUAUCGGAUUAUUUUACAUGCAACUGAGAAAAUUGGGCCAGCAACCUUGCUGUAGAACAUCUCUUCAAUGCCCUUGGUGUACAGCUCCUCAGCUAUUGUUCAGCAUUUUGUGACACUUAGAAAUUAAACUGUAAAUAUAAACUUCUGCCAAGACAGAAUGUAACCAACUGUUUGGAAGUGAGAAUUACCUACAGCAUUAACUUCAUCCCAGUUCUGACUCGUCACUAAUGUAUUUGGAAGGAAAUGCAAGUGAAAUGGAAAUUAAGAUGGAUUUGCAAACCCAAACAGCAUAAAUGCAAGUUACUUUAAUAUUGAAAAUAAAUUCAUUGCAAAUUUCA